rnacentral:tRNA from 1 species
GGAGCGGUAGUUCAGUUGGUUAGAAUACCUGCCUGUCACACCUUGGGGGUCGCGGGUUCGAGUCCCGUCCGUUUCC